rnacentral:ncRNA from 16 species
GGUGCACACCGCGACUGGCGUACGGGGAAGCGACCCCGAGGGAGCGGUGGGCGGGCCGCCGCGGCGGCCCCU